UGCGUAGGCUGUGCGGAAAGUUGGGUGUGAAAUACCUCAGCUUAACUGAGGAACUGCGCCCAAAACUACCGUGCUUGAGGGAGACAGAGGUAAGCGGAACUUAGGGUGGAGCGGUGAAAUGCGUUGAUAUCCUAGGGAACACCGGUGGCGAAAGCGGCUUACUGGGUCUCAUCUGACGCUGAGGCACGAAAGCCAGGGUAGCGAACG
rnacentral:rRNA from 1 species